rnacentral:tRNA from 1 species
GCCCCCCUAGCUCAGACGGUAGAGCGUUUCCAUGGUAAGGAAAAGGUCACCGGUUCGAUUCCGGUGGGGGGCUCGA